rnacentral:rRNA from 1 species
AUUGAACGCUGGCGGUAUGCUUAACACAUGCAAGUCGAACGAGUGGCGGACGGGUGAGUAAUGCAUAGGAAUCUACCUUUUAGUCUAGGAUAACUACCCGAAAGGGUGGCUAAUACUGGAUGCUAAGAGAUGUGCCUAUGUGGGAUUAGCUAGUUGGUGGUGUAAUGGCUCACCAAGGCGACGAGCUCUAGCUGGUUUGAGAGGAUGAUACGCCACAAGUGGACUGGUACACGGCCCCGACUCCUACGGGAGGCAGCAGUGGGGAAUAUGGGACAAUGGGAGAAAGCUUGAUCCAGCAAUACCGCGUGUGUGAAGAAGGCCCUAGGGUUGUAAAGCACUUUUGUUAGGGAGAUGUUACCUAAAGAAUAAGCACCGGCUAACUCCGUGCCAGCAGCCGCGGUAAUAC